UACGGAGGGGGCUAGCGUUGUUCGGAUUUACUGGGCGUAAAGCGCACGUAGGCGGCGCCGUAAGUCGGGGGUGAAAUCCCGGAGCUCAACUCCGGAACUGCCCUUGAAACUGCAGUGCUAGAAUCUUGGAGAGGCGAGUGGAAUUCCGAGUGUAGAGGUGAAAUUCGUAGAUAUUCGGAAGAACACCAGUGGCGAAGGCGACUCGCUGGACAAGUAUUGACGCUGAGGUGCGAAAGCGUGGGGAGCAAACAGG
rnacentral:rRNA from 1 species